GAUGAACGCUGGCGGCGUGCCUAAUACAUGCAAGUCGAGCGAACAGACGAGGAGCUUGCUCCUCUGACGUUAGCGGCGGACGGGUGAGUAACACGUGGAUAACCUACCUAUAAGACUGGGAUAACUUCGGGAAACCGGAGCUAAUACCGGAUAACAUGUUGAACCGCAUGGUUUAACAGUGAAAGACGGUCUUGCUGUCACUUAUAGAUGGAUCCGCGCCGCAUUAGCUAGUUGGUAAGGUAACGGCUUACCAAGGCAACGAUGCGUAGCCGACCUGAGAGGGUGAUCGGACACACUGGAACUGAGACACGGUCCAGACUCCUACGGGAGGCAGCAGUAGGGAAUCUUCCGCAAUGGGCGAAAGCCUGACGGAGCAAAGCCGCGUGAGUGAAGAAGGUAUUCGGAUCGUAAAACUCUGUUAUUAGGGAAGAACAAAUGUGUAAGUAACUAUGCACGUCUUGACGGUACCUAAUCAGAAAGCCACGGCUAACUACGUG
rnacentral:rRNA from 1 species